ACUCCUACGGGAGGCAGCAGUGGGGAAUAUUGCACAAUGGGGGGAAACCCUGAUGCAGCCAUGCCGCGUGUGUGAAGAAGGCCUUCGGGUUGUAAAGCAACUUUCAGUAGGGAGGAAGGUAGUGUAGUUAACACCUGCAUUAUUUGACGUUACCUACAGAAGAAGCACCGGCUAACUCCGUGCCAGCAGCCGCGGUAAUACGGAGGGUGCGAGCGUUAAUCGGAAUUACUGGGCGUAAAGCGCAUGCAGGUGGUUUGUUAAGUCAGAUGUGAAAGCCCAGGGCUUAACCUCGGAAUUGCAUUUGAAACUGGCAGGCUAGAGUCUUGUAGAGGGGGGUAGAGUUUCAGGUGUAGCGGUGAAAUGCGUAGAGAUACUGAAGGAAUACCAGUGGCGAAGGCGGCCCCCUGGACAAAGACUCGACGCUCAGAUGCGAAAGCGUGGGGAGCAAACAGGAUUA
rnacentral:rRNA from 1 species